rnacentral:rRNA from 1 species
GGAGGGUGCAAGCGUUAUCCGGAUUCACUGGGUUUAAAGGGUGCGUAGGCGGACAGGUAAGUCCGUGGUGAAAUCUCCGAGCUUAACUCGGAAACUGCCAUGGAUACUAUUUGUCUUGAAUACUGUGAAGGUGAGCGGAAUAUGUCAUGUAGCGGUGAAAUGCUUAGAUAUGACAUAGAACACCAAUUGCGAAGGCAGCUCACUGCGCAGUCAUUGACGCUGAGGCACGAAAGCGUGGGGAUCAAACAGGAUUAGAUACCCUGGUAGUCCACGCCCUAAACGAUGGAUACUCGACAUACGUGAUAUGACAAUGUGUGUCUGAGCGAAAGCAUUAAGUAUCCCACCUGGGAAGUACGACCGCAAGGUUGAA